rnacentral:lncRNA from 12 species
GCCCCUGAUGUCCUGCGUCUUGCAAGUCGUGUCUGCCUCCUGCUGGGGAAGCAGAGGAGCGUCCUCCAAGGUCACCUGUCGCGACCUGCGGGGCGGAGCGGACAAGCCGCCGCCUGACGGCAAAAGGAGACUGGCCACAGAGACUUUUGUUUGAAGCCACGUUUGGAACGCGCCCACCAAGUCUUUGAGACCAAGUAGACCUGAAGAAAAGGGAUUUCGUGUCUUAUUUUUUUUCCCUUGAAUAUCAUGUUUCUAAGAAGACAGUGUGUUCUCUGGCUCUCCCGGGUCACGGCCAGCUGAGGCUUCGGAGGGGAGUGGGGAGUUGUCGGAGGCGAGACGGGCCUGGCCGGGCCGAGGACGAUGCCAGCCCCCCACACACACUGGCUGCGGGAGCUGCUGCCGUCACGACGUGCUUCCCGCCCAAGGACGCUCCUGCCCCGGUGGUUCUGUGCACGGCCUGGCUCGGCACCGACGGCCCGGGUUGCCGCAGGCUGCUGACCCGUGUGCCUCGGUUUGCUCACCUGCUGAGUGGGCGUGGGAGGACCCACCCCGUGUGGCCGCUGAGCAGGCUGGGGGAGCGGAAGCGCGUGGACUAGUGCCGGAUGGACUUCUCCACGGAGCCCGGUUCGUCCCCGCUUCCCGCCUGAAGGCGACGGUGGCCCACAGCACGUCCGACCGUCGGGCUGGCCCGUUCGCCAUCUCUCCCGAGGACACCCCAUGCUGUCGCCCCUUUCCCUGCUUGGGAUCACUUCCGUUGUGCGAGGCCGCUAGAGCUUCCCGUCCUCCGCGACGUGGCCGUCCCUGCCUGUCCCUGCCGUCUGGGGCCCGCCCCGCUCCGACCCCGUUGUGUGGUUCGCUGUCUCGGCCGCGGCCAGUCUGCUUCCCCGCUGCUCCGUCGGCGUUGUCUUUACCCCCGAACGGGCCGGUGUGGGAUGGCAGUCACGCCGCGGUCCCGGACAGCCUCACAGGGCCACGGCGCCCAGGCCGUCCUUGCAGUGCCGCGCGGCGGCUGAGCGCAGAGGCCCUCCGUCAAGCAGGAAGGCGCGUGGACGCCGCUCUUGGUCGUGGUCGCGUGAGGCACCUGUUCAGAUACCAGCUCCUGGCCCGCCCCGGGGCCGUUCCCAUCAUCAGGUGCAGGGAGGAGCCCGGGAGCGUGGAGCACGGGCUCCCUGGAUUGCUCUGCGUCUGCAGCCACUUGCUGUGGAAAGGAGAGACUCAUAUGAGACUGCUUGAGCCCUGGCCUGCUACCUCUGGGCUCGUAUGAGCCCCACCUACCUGAGCCUCAGUUUCUCCACCCGUGAAAUGGGAAUAUGUUUGAUUUGUGGCCUGCCAAGGUCUAAAGGCUGAUGUACGUGCCUGUGUUUUAUAAAUCGUAAAAGAUAAUUAAAGUGCAUUAAUCAGUGGUGGGGCUGCGGCCGGCCGGUGUGGAGAGAGGGGCAGGUCCUUCGUGGCCGUGGGCCUGGCUCUGGGGGAGGAAGAGCGGUGGGUAGUCGCGUGGUCGUCCCGGCGGGACCAAGCAGAGCAGCAGAGGUCGCAGCGCCUGCUGGUUGGGCUGCCCGUUUUGCGCCCGACUGCGCCCGGCACUGUGCUGCCUUCCGUGGGAUUACUCCACGUCCACGCCAAGGCCGUCGCGUCGGUCGCAUCUGUAGCAGCUCGACC